rnacentral:misc_RNA from 1 species
GAUGAAGAACGCAGCGAAAUGCGAUAAGUAGUGUGAAUUGCAGAAUUCAGUGAAUCAUCGAAUCUUUGAACGCACAUUGCGCCCUUUGGUAUUCCUUAGGGCAUGCUUGUUCGAGCGUCAUUUAAACCUUCAAGCUCAGCUUGGUGUUGGGUGACUGUCCGCUUCACCGCGGACUCGCCUCAAAAUUAUUGGCGGCCGGUACAUUGGCUUCGAGCGCAGCAGAAACGCGAACUCGGGCCCGUCGUAUUGGCUCCCAGAAGCUAUCUUCACAAUUUUGACCUCGGAUCAGGUAGGGAUACCCGCUGAACUUAAGCAUAUCAAUAAGCGGAGGA